CGCCUAUCCCUUUUGUUCUCUAUCUUUUUUUGUUUGUCCUUUCUCAUUUCUUGGCGAGAGUUAAAGCUGAGAGAGGGAGGCGAUUCUUGGCGAUUUCCUCGUCGUCCAUGACUGUGAAUUAACAAUGAUGGAGAAGAAGGAUUGUUUGCAUUAGAUAGAUGAUGAACUGCUUUUUUCACACUAUGGAUAGGGCAGUGUCUAUGUUGGUUCAGUGUGUAGUCAUCUGUAUGAUAGGAAGUGUCAAGUGUGUAUGUUGGUUCAGCUGUUUUUUUCUUUUCGAAAAGGAGGAUUGCCCCCGGCCUCUGCAUCGCAAUGUUGGUUCAGUUGUGUCUCUAUAAUCUGUAGAAGACACUAGGUACUAUACCUGCAAGGUUUUCUUACUGUAAUUUCAAGGUUUUUCACCUGCUUGUCAUGAAUGCAAAUGGGUUCAGUACACUGUAAUUUUAUAAGUUCCAGUGCUAAUUGACUGUAA